UUCUGUCGGGUACGUCAAAGUCAGGUGAGUCUCUUAUUCUUCUUGUUUUCUAACCAUGGUCGGCGGCAAUGGAAGGAUGGUGACGCUUAAGGUGCAACAGUAGUCAGAAUGCCCUUCAUCAGGUGCUGCUGCUCCUUGUACUACUUCACUGUGUCCUCAUUGUCCAGCUUCAACUCUGUGUAUCCUAUUUUGGCAUCUCUGUUUUUAUUGAGAGAGAGAGAGAGAGAGAGCAAAAGGGUACGUUUCUGCUAUUGGCUUGGCGCUCUCAUUAUAUACUAAAGUAUUAGUUUUGUUUACUUGAGUGAAUAAAUUUCCUUGCAAAAUAUAGAAUUAAAUAUCUGUGAUCAUAUAGAAUGUGAAUCCUGUCAUAUUAACUGGUAAUCAAGUAAAAUAUGGGUGGCUUUUUUGGGUUUCUUUCUAUAUUUUGUUUAUUUUUGUAUUUAUGGUUUGGAAUGGAACAUCCUAGCAGAGAAUCUGACUGCAUGUGGUUCCUAUCGUUAUCAGUAUAAUGACUUCUGCAUGUAAUGACUGUUUUGCAGGGCACCCAUCAAUUCAAUUGAGAACUUGGGGGCGAAAGACACCAACCCCGUUAAUCCCAUUGGAUAUUUUCCCUUGAAUGCAGAAACGGACAACUUUGAUGACUUUGGAGUUGACUUGUGUCCCAUUCCUGAGGCAGCCUUAUCUGACUCUGAUCUUGAAUUUGAUAAGAACUACUGUAUUAGCAAUGAGAAG